CCUACGGGAGGCAGCAGUGAGGAAUAUUGGUCAAUGGGCGAGAGCCUGAACCAGCCAAGCCGCGUGAGGGAUGACGGAACUGGGUAUCGUAAACUUCUUUUGUAAGGGAAUAAAGGCUGGUACGUGUUCCCGGAUGAGUGUACCUGAAGAAGAAGGAUCGGCUAACUCCGUGCCAGCAGCCGCGGUAAUACGGAGGAUGCGAGCGUUAUCCGGAUUUAUUGGGUUUAAAGGGUGCGUAGAGGGGGUGUUAAGUCAGCUGUGAAAGGUCGGGGCUCAACCGUGGAACUGCAAUUGAGACUGGCAGGCUAGAGUACGGGAGAGGUAGGCGGAAUGCGUGGUGUAGCGGUGAAAUGCGUAGAUAUCACGAAGAACUCCGAUUGCGAAGGCAGCCUGCUGGACUGCCACUGACGUUGAGGCUCGAAAGCGUGGGUAGCAAACAGGAUUAGAUACCCGUGUAGUC
rnacentral:rRNA from 1 species